AGAGCACUCCUACGGGAGGCAGCAGUGGGGAAUAUUGCACAAUGGGCGCAAGCCUGAUGGCAGCCAUGCCGCGUGUAUGAAGAAGGCCUUCGGGUUGUAAAGUACUUUCAGCAGUGAGGAAGGUGGAUAUGUUAAUAGCAUAUUCAUUUGACGUUUAGCUGCAGAAGAAGCACCGGCUAACUCCGUGCCAGCAGCCGCGGUAAUACGGAGGGUGCGAGCGUUAAUCGGAAUUACUGGGCGUAAAGCGCAUGCAGGUGGUUUGUUAAGUCAGAUGUGAAAGCCCGGGGCUCAACCUCGGAAUUGCAUUUGAAACUGGCAAACUAGAGUACUGUAGAGGGGGUAGAAUUUCAGGUGUAGCGGUGAAAUGCGUAGAGAUCUGAAGGAAUACCGGUGGCGAAGGCGGCCCCCUGGACAGAUACUGACACUCAGAUGCGAAAGCGUGGGGAGCAAACAGGAUUAGAUACCCUGGUCG
rnacentral:rRNA from 1 species